rnacentral:rRNA from 1 species
AACGAACGCUGGCGGCGUGUUUAAGACAUGCAAGUCGCACGGGAUAAGACAUGUAGUAAUACUUGUUUUAUUUAGUGGCGCACGGGUGAGUAACACGUGAAUUACAUGCCCUAUAGUGGGGAAUAGCCCAGGGAAACUUGGAUUAAUACCCCAUGGUAUCGAAAGAUUAAAGGUGGCCGCAAGGCUGUCGCUAUAGGAUUGGUUCGCGCCCUAUCAGCUUGUUGGUGAGGUAACGGCUCACCAAGGCAAUGACGGGUACCUGGUCUGAGAGGACGAUCAGGCACACUGGAACUGCGACACGGUCCAGACACCUACGGGUGGCAGCAGUCGAGAAUAAUUCACAAUGGGGGCAACCCUGAUGGUGCAACGCCGCGUGGAGGAUGACGGUCUUCGGAUUGUAAACUCCUGUCAUCUGGGAGAAAGACCUGACGGUAAAUAACCGGCAGGGUUGAUAGUACCAGAAGAGGAAGGGACGGCUAACUUCGUGCCAGCCGCCGCUGUAA